GGCUCUCCUGAGCUGUUCUCUCUUGCCAUCUGCUGGUGUAUCUAUUUAACCAAAUGUAUAGCUGCUUAAAACUCAGUUCUUUUAGUUGAUAACCCCAGGGCUCUUUCAACUGAUUUGUGAUUCCAGAUCCCAGGCUGCUAGCUCCUAGAAAAGCCCUCAGAGAACAUGAGAUCCAAGAGAACAUUCACAGAAGAUCACGGGGAAGAAGAGAAAGUGGCGAGAGACAUUGGCCAGAUGGGAGCAUGAGAGAGGAUCCCAGAGCAGGGUUUUUACUGUUACUGCACCAAAGGUAGAUGUGAUCUGUAUACUCAGGGAGCUAGCUGGUCUGUCUGCAAAUAACAACAACAACUCUAAUGGAAGCCUGGAGUGAGAAAUUGUCCCCUUCAUACUCUUGUAGCCCUGGGGAUUUGCUGACUGACAAGCUGGGCUCAAACACCA